rnacentral:rRNA from 1 species
UACGAAGGGUGCAAACGUUGCUCGGAAUCAUUGGGCGUAAAGCGCACGUAGGCGGCUUGCCAAGUCGGACGUGAAAUCCCUCAGCUCAACUGAGGACGUGCAUCCGAAACUGGCGAGCUUGAGUGCUGAAGAGGAGUCGCGGAAUUCCCGGUGUAGCGGUGAAAUGCGCAGAUAUCAGGAGGAACACCAAUGGCGAAGCAGCUCGCUGGAACGGAACGACGCUGAGGCGCGAAAGCGUGGGGAGCGAACAGG